GUCUACAGUCAUGCCACCCUGAACAAGCCCGAUCCUGCGUGAUCUCGGAAGUUAAGCAGGGUCAGGAGUGGUUAGUACUUGGAUGGGAGACCACCUAGGAGGACCAAGUGCUGUAAGCA
rnacentral:rRNA from 1 species